rnacentral:rRNA from 1 species
GAUGAACGCUGGCGGCGUGCCUAAUACAUGCAAGUCGAGCGAACAGACGAGGAGCUUGCUCCUUUGACGUUAGCGGCGGACGGGUGAGUAACACGUAGGUAUCCUACCUAUAAGACUGGGAUAACUUCGGGAAACCGGAGCUAAUACCGGAUAAUAUUUCGAACCGCAUGGUUCGAUAGUGAAAGAUGGCUUUGCUAUCACUUAUAGAUGGACCUGCGCCGUAUUAGCUAGUUGGUAAGGUAACGGCUUACCAAGGCAACGAUACGUAGCCGACCUGAGAGGGUGAUCGGCCACACUGGAACUGAGACACGGUCCAGACUCCUACGGGAGGCAGCAGUAGGGAAUCUUCCGCAAUGGGCGAAAGCCUGACGGAGCAACGCCGCGUGAGUGAUGAAGGUCUUCGGAUCGUAAAACUCUGUUAUUAGGGAAGAACAAACGUGUAAGUAACUGUGCACGUCUUGACGGUACCUAAUCAGAAAGCCACGGCUAACUACGUG